AUUACUACAAGCAGGGAAAAGUCAGGACAACAGAGUUGCUACCAUUAUAUUGACAGACAAAAGUUUCCUUUGUAUUCUCCAACACCUUGUUUUGUCAAAUGAGGACAUAGUCUCCACCAAAGCACUGCAGCUACUGGCAUUACUUGUACUCCAGCAGGCAGAUUUUAGUAUUCCACAUCUUAUUAAAAAUCAUGUUCAACUGCAAUUGGCAUGGCUUCUAGAAAGAACUAAGUCCAAAGUAUAUCUCCAGCAGAUCAGUGUUCUACAGUUCUGGGCAGUCUACUUCUCCACUCACUUUUCUGGAUCGUGUGCUAUAGUGGAGUUACUGGAUGACACAGAUCACACAGAUCUUGUAGGUCGAGACAAUACACAAUUGCACAUAAAGACCCAGUAUUUGAGGAAGUUACUUAUUUACAUUCAGCAGGCUGUUUUUAAGGAAAAUAGGCAUUUGCAGUGCGUUGCUGUUAUUUGUCUUCACAACUUGCUGACACGAUACUUGAAGCCACAGGUAUUGAAAACAGG